AAAUCUCAAUGCAGAUAAGUUUAAGAAGGAUGAAGAUGUCUGAGGAGAACCUGGCCUCCAGGGCCAGCUCAUGCUGAAACGGGAAUUUGAGAGUUUGAAGCUAUCAUGGAGUACCAUGGAACCAACAUUAGUUUGCUGGUGUUUGUCAAAGGGCAGUUCACUGAUGGUGAGUGGGCUGAGGAAUAACAUAUGUCGAAAAUGAGGAUGACAAUUAGGUGGAGAGAAGUUGAGGUCUGGAAGAACCAUGGUGAUAUGUUGCGCUGUCGAGCGAGGAAGAA